rnacentral:rRNA from 1 species
AUUGAACGCUGGCGGCAUGCCUUACACAUGCAAGUCGAACGGUAACAGGUCUUCGGAUGCUGACGAGUGGCGAACGGGUGCGUAAUACAUCGGAACGUGCCCGAUCGUGGGGGAUAACGAGGCGAAAGCUUUGCUAAUACCGCAUACGAUCUACGGUUGAAAGCGGGGGAUCUUCGGACCUCGCGCGGACGGAGCGGCCGAUGGCAGAUUAGGUAGUUGGUGGGUUAAAAGCUUACCAAGCCGACGAUCUGUAGCUGGUCUGAGAGGAUGAUCCGCCACACUGGAACUGAGACACGGCCCAGACUCCUACGGGAGGCAGCAGUAGGGAAUUUUGGACAAUGGGCGAAAGCCUGAUCCAGCCAUGCCGCGUGCAGGAUGAAGGCCUUUGGGUUGUAAACUUCUGUUGUACGGAACGAAAAGCCUCUUACUAAUAAAGAGGGGUCAUGACGGUACCGUAAGAAUAAGCACCGGCUAACUACGUG